rnacentral:rRNA from 1 species
UACGGGGGGGGCAAGCGUUGUUCGGGAUUACUGGGCGUAAAGGGCUCGUAGGUGGCCAACUAAGUCAGACGUGAAAUCCCGAGGCUUAACCUCGGAACUGCGUCUGAAACUACUCGACUAGAGUACUGGAGAGGGUAACGGAAUUCACGGUGUAGCAGUGAAAUGCGUAGAUAUCGUGAGGAACACCAGAGGCGAAGGCGGUUACCUGGACAGUUACUGACGCUCAGGCACGAAAGCAUGGGGAGCAAAAGGG